AAAAAAACGCAAUCUGAAUACAAAAAAAUAAAACAAAACGCAAUAUUUCUCUCUCGACCCAAAUCAACUCGCGAUGAACAAACCCUCAGCGCCGUCCUCUACCGCCGACAACGAUUGAACCCUCAGCAACCUAAAAUCAACUCACCACCACCGCCUUAUCUCAGUUGUCCUCUCUCUCUCUCUCUCUCUCUUUGUCACUCGUCAAAUCGAAGCUUCUCACUUGAACCCUAACUCCAAAUCGAAGUUAUAAGGGAAACGAAUUGAAAAUUCUCUCCGCUCUCACUAUUGUCCUUCUUUUUCCGGCCUCUACUCUCACGAAUCGAAGCUUGUCUUUCUCUUUCACUAUUGUCAAACCUUCUUCGAUUCAGAACUUCAGCCAUGGAGUGGAGUUUGUUCUUUUGUUAUCAUUUAAUGCGGGUGCCUUAGAUAACCAAGUGGAACAUGCAUUGGUGUCUCUAGCAACGGUGAUGCCGGAAUCUCCUUCCUUGAUUGUACAAUGUACACAAGGUAUGUUUUCAGUUUGACUAACACUUAUUCAGAUGUUGCCUUGUUAGCCAUUUUGUUACUGGAUCUUUUAGCAUAAUCAGUUGUCAUAUAAUUCUAGUUUAUAUCAGAAUAAUCAGUUGUCAUAUUUUCCUAAUCCUUUAUGUUUGAACUUUUAAGCUUAAGUAAAAUGAAUUUCUAUCCUACCAUAAUAUGUUCAAUAUCAGAGACCUUUGGGGGGUCUUUCCUCAAGUGGCACGAACCGAGACAUGUGAUGAUAUUCUUCAACAGGUCAUUUUUCUAUUUGGUUAUACCGGGUUAGUGUAUAACUAUUUUGAUUUGGUGACUAUUUUGAUUUAUUUCUCAUUUAGUUUCAUUUGGAUUUGUGGGUUUCGUGCAGGUUGAUGACCCUCGACUUAUUCAAAGAAUUUCAAUUGCAGCAUCAGGAAGGCGGUAGCUACAAAGACUAAGACGCCUCAUGAUGCAUGUGAUAGACUGAUGUGGUUUUGCUACCUAUUCUCUUUAUCUCAGUUUUCCUUUUCUUGUUUUUCUUUUGUUUUGCCUGGAAUGAUUGUGAAAGUUACUGUGGCCUGUGGGUAAUGGUUGCCCUUUGAAUGUACUCUCUUGUUACUUUAAUAAUUGGUCAAAUUAUGUAUAUGUUGAACUAGUAAAUUAAAUUAGAAAACUGGUUAGUGGUAGUGGAGAUUUUUGGUUCCUUUACUGCAUUUCUCUUUAUGCAUAGUUGCAAAUAUUAGUAUAAUCGAGUUACAUGAAACACAUUUUGUUGGAUCUGUUAUUUGUUUUUGUACUCAAUGACUUGAAUUUUUUCUUCGGCUGAAACUAUGGAUUUGCUUACAUUUUGUUGGAUCUGUUAUUUGUGUUUGUUCCUAUUACAGGUACAAGAGAAGCAAAGAUUGAUUGAUUUUGCAGAAGCACUUCGUAGUAAUGUAGUAUCACUCAUAGUUUUCUUAUAAGUGGGUGUUCAAUGAUCCCACAACAUUAACAGAGGAGGAGCUGUAUGAUUUGCGAAACCGCUGGGCAACUUGUUUCCUUGACCUAUAUAAUCUUGAGGUAGAUUAUGAUGAUGCCGAUGAGAAAGCUUAGGAGCUAGCUAGGUUUGUGUGAAGUUACAAUGAAUUAGUAUUAAUUAUGAUGAUGUUUUGAUUUGUAUUUUGGAUUUCAAUGAUUGUACUUCAAUGACAUUAUUACUAUAUAUAUGUUGAAUGUUGAAUUUG